AACAGAAACUGUUUUAACCCAUAGAGAUAAACAGACAUCUUCAACUUAUCCAGUACAAAAACAAGACUUAAAACAGCAACAAAUCUCACUCUCCCUAGACUUGAUUACUUGAUGUACUGAGACAUCCACCUGAAGCCUUCCCCAUAACCCAUUUUGCGGACUAUGCUGCACAUGAACACCUCAAGUGGACGGACAUUGGAUUCUGCCAGGUUUACCUUCCCCUUGCCAGUAGUGACGCCUGUUAGCCCCAAAUGGUAACGCAGUUCGUCUUCAGAGGCAGCAUAAGGAAUGUCUAUCUUGUUACCCAAUAUAAGAAAUGGCACAGUGGCCAAGGACUCGUC
rnacentral:lncRNA from 1 species